GAAUUUUGGACAAUGGGGGGAACCCUGAUCCAGCCAUGCCGCGUGUGGGAAAACGGCCUUUUGGUUGUAAAGCACUUUACGCGGGAAGGAGGUGCUCGUGGUUAAUACCCAAGAUGCUGGGCCGUUAGUCGCAGAAUAAGCACCGGCUAACGUUACCACAGCAGCCGCGGUAAUACAGAGGGUGCAAGUCUUAAUCGGAUUUACUGGGCGUAAAGCGCGCGUAGGUGGCCAAUUAAGUCAAAUGUGAAAUCCCCGAGCUUAACUUGGGAAUUGCAUUCGAUACUGGUUGGCUAGAGUAUGGGAGAGGAUGGUAGAAUUCCAGGUGUAGCGGUGAAAUGCGUAGAGAUCUGGAGGAAUACCGAUGGCGAAGGCAGCCAUCUGGCCUAAUACUGACACUGAGGUGCGAAAGCAUGGGGAGCAAACA
rnacentral:rRNA from 1 species